rnacentral:rRNA from 1 species
AUUGAACGCUGGCGGCAGGCCUAACACAUGCAAGUCGAACGAGUGGCGGACGGGUGAGUAAUGUCUGGGAAACUGCCCGCUGGAGGGGGAUAACUACUGGAAACGGUAGCUAAUACCGCAUACCAUCGGAUGUGCCCACAUGGGAGUGUCUAGUAUGUGGGGUAACGGCUCAACUAGGCGACGAUCCCUAGCUGGUCUGAGAGGAUGACCAGCCACCGUGGAACUGAGACCCGGUCCAGACUCCUACGGGAGGCAGCAGUGGGGAAUAUUGCACAAUGGGCGGAAGCCUGAUGCAGCCAUGCCGCGUGUAUGAAGAAGGCCUUCGGGUUGUAAAGUACUUUCAGCGAGGAGGCGUUACUCGCAGAAGAAGCACCGGCUAACUCCGUGCCAGCAGCCGCGGUAAUUC